GGAAGGAGUCCGGCUGGACGAGGAGCGCGGGUGCUAACCGUGUGCGCGGGUGACCGCGUCGAGGGUUCGAGUCCCUCUCCUUCCU
rnacentral:tRNA from 1 species